UUGGUGAGGACCCCAAGCUCGG
rnacentral:miRNA from 1 species